GUGUCAGCAGCCGCGGUAAUACGAACCGUCCAAACGUUAUUCGGAAUUACUGGGCUUAAAGGGUUCGUAGGCGGCCUUGUAAGUGGGGUGUGAAAUCCCUCGGCUCAACCGAGGAAUAGCGCUCCAAACUACAAGGCUUGAGGGAGACAGGGGUAAGCGGAACUGAUGGUGGAGCGGUGAAAUGCGUUGAUAUCAUCAGGAACACCGGUGGCGAAAGCGGCUUACUGGGUCUCUUCUGACGCUGAGGAACGAAAGCUAGGGUAGCGAACGGGAUUAGAUACCCUCGUAGUCC
rnacentral:rRNA from 1 species